rfam:Aedes aegypti strain Liverpool supercont1.100 genomic scaffold, whole genome shotgun sequence.
CCUCUCAUGGCGUAGUGGUUAACGCGCCCCAACUAGAGAUCGGGGAGCCGUGAGUUCGAUUCUCACUGAGAAGA